CCUGGCUCAGAACGAACGCUGGCGGCGCGUCUUAAGCAUGCAAGUCGAGCGGCAAGCAUCAGCAAUGGUGCCUAGAGCGGCGGACUGGUGAGUAACGCGUGGGUGACCUACCCUUGGGUUGGGGAUAGCCAUUAGAAAUAGUGGGUAAUACCGAAUGAGGUUACCGGGCCAUGGUCUGGUAAAGAAGGAGCCACGGCUCCGCCCGGGGAUGGGCCCGCGUCCCAUUAGCUAGUUGGGGGGGUAAGAGCCGACCAAGGCGAUGAUGGGUAGCCGGCCUGAGAGGGUGAACGGCCACACUGGGACUGAGAUACGGCCCAGACUCCUACGGGAGGCAGCAGCUAAGAAUAUUCCGCAAUGGGCGAAAGCCUGACGGAGCGACGCCGCGUGGAUGACGAAGGCCGAAAGGUUGUAAAAUUCUUUUGCGGAUGAAGAUAAGCGGGGGAGGGAAUGCCCCGGCGAUGACGUUAGUCCGCGAAUAAGCCCCCGGCUAAUUACGUGCCAGCAGCCGCGGUAACACGUAAGGGGCGAGCGUUGUUCGGAAUUAUUGGGCGUAAAGGGCGCGUAGGCGGUUUUACAAGUCCGGCGUGAAAGGCGCGGGCUCAACCCGCGGACUGCGCUGGAAACUAGAGGGCUUGAGUCACGGAGGGGCAGCCGGAAUUCCUGGUGUAGGGGUGAAAUCUGUAGAUAUCAGGAAGAACACCGGUGGCGAAGGCGGGCUGCCAGCCGAUGACUGACGCUGAGGCGCGAAAGUGCGGGGAGCAAACAGGAUUAGAUACCCUGGUAGUCCGCACUAUAAACGAUGCACACUAGGUGUUGGGCCGAGCGGCUCAGUGCCGGAGCGAACGUGAUAAGUGUGCCGCCUGGGGAGUAUGCC
rnacentral:rRNA from 1 species